GGUUGCGAUCAUACCAGCACUAAUGCAUCGGAUCCCAUCAGAACUCCGCAGUUAAGCGUGCUUGGGCGAGAGUAGUACUAGGAUGGGUGACCCCCUGGGAAGUCCUCGUGUUGCAACCCC
rnacentral:rRNA from 1 species